rnacentral:sRNA from 1 species
AAUGGGAAGUGUAUUCAAUUCUCUACAAAUCAACAACUUACACUUGUGUCCAAGAACUUUUACGGCUCUAUUAUUUAAAAUAUGUAUAGCAUGUUUGGAUUUUAUGAUCACUUUAGCCACUUACGAGGAUCUCAAACUAAAUAUUCACUUUUU